rnacentral:rRNA from 1 species
AAUAUGGGCCAAUGGGGCCAACCCGGACCAACCCUUGCCGCUGUGUGGAAAAAGGUCUUGGAUUUUAAAACACCUUUAGGUUGGAAGGAAGGCUUUAGGGCAAUUACCCUAAGGUUUUAACUUAACCACCGAAUUAGCACCCGGCAACCCCUUUGCAGCCACCGCGGGAAUACGAAGGGUGCAAGCGUUAAUCGGAAUUACUGGGCGUAAAGCGCGCGUAGGUGGUUUGUUAAGUUGGAAGUGAAAGCCCCGGGCUCAACCUGGGAACUGCUUUCAAAACUGGCAAGCUAGAGUAUGGCAGAGGGUGGUGGAAUUUCCUGUGUAGCGGUGAAAUGCGUAGAUAUAGGAAGGAACACCAGUGGCGAAGGCGACCACCUGGGCUAAUACUGACACUGAGGUGCGAAAGCGUGGGGAGCAAACAG